rnacentral:pre_miRNA from 1 species
GUAGAGGCUGUGGCCCGGAAGUGAUCGGGGCCGCCGCAGACGGAAGGGCGCCUCUGCUUCGUCCGCUCGGCGGUGGCCCAGCCAGGCCCGCGGGA